GGGUAAGUGGCGAGGGAAAAUGGGUAUUACUAUAAGAACAUCAAAAAAUAUAAUAACAGUCCCUACUGAUAAGGUUGAGGAAUCAGUAUCCGUUAAUUAAUUCUUCGCCUUACAGCGGAUCAAGAGAUCGAAACCCUACCUAUUUUUGGUGAGCUACAAUCCCUACCUAUUAUGGUGGAAAAUCACAUAACCUUGUCGUAUGACACGAGGGAAUGUGGUUCUUAGCCAUAAGAUUGGUAUAGAUAACAUAGGAGUCCCUAUCCUCCAAUAUGUAAAUAAUUUUCCCGUUUUCUUUGCGAUCAAGGAGACAUGGAGGUAUGGUCAAUAUGUAGAAGGGUAAGUCACGGGGGAAAGUGGAGCAUAAUCAUACAAAUUUUGCACAGACCCUAUAUAUUUUUGUGAGCUUCAAUCCCUACCUAUUUCUGUGGAAAAAUCAUAUACAUAUGUCGUAUGUCACGAACGGAAACUUGGUUCUUAAUCUAAAGGUUUAUAUAGGUUACAUAAAAGUCCCUAUCGCCCAAUAUGUAAAAUAAUUGCGGGUUUCAUUGUGAUCAAGAUGAGAUUAAGAGGAGGUCGGUAUAAGAGGGUAAGUCAGGAGGUAAGUGGGUAUUAAUAUAAGAACAUAUAAAUAUAAUCAGAUAAGGUUGAGAAGAUCACUAUUUGUUAAUUAAUUACUGUUCUCAUUGCGAUCAAGUGAUCAAAACCGUCUUUAAAGCAUUUGCACGCACCCCUACCUAUUAUAGUGAGCUACAAUUCCUACCUAUUAUAGUUGAAAACCAUAUGUCGUAUGUCACGAGAAAAAGUUCUUCUUAACCAUACAAUUAUAUAGAUGACAUAAGAGUCCCUAUCCUCAAAUAUCAAGAAGAGAUGGAGAUGCGGUCGAUAUACAGAAAAGUAAGUCACGAGGGGAAGUGGGCCACAAACAUAAGAGCAUAUAAAAAUACCGAUAAAGCUAAGAAUAUCAUUAUCCGUACAAUUAUUCCUUUGGAUUUGUUCAUUCAUUUCCAUUCGUUAUUUAAUUAGAUGCAUUUCCCAAAAUUAGUGUUCAGAGCAGGGAAAGAGGAUAUAUUUAAAUAAGCUCUGUCUAAAAAUUAAUUGGAUAAACCGGUGAAUAUUUGCUAGUUGGGGCAGUAUUUUCAUUUACAUCGUUAGCCUUAAUCGAGAAAGAACUAUAACUAUGUUUAAAUAUUUCCUUUUCAACCGUUUUAUAAAGAUGAAGAUUUCAGAUUGCAUUAAAUUCGUUUGUCAUUUACGUAUGCGUAAAAGUUCCUUUUUAAUUCGAGCCCUUCUUGGGUAGGGUAGGGAUGACUAGCAGGGUAGAAGAAAGCGCAGUUUACAUAUAUAAUCCUAUGCAAGUCUCAUAAUAUAUUUAUUAAUGUAAUAUUUUCCAUUGCAGAUCGAAUUUGGAUCGAAUUUAUUAGUUUUUCUGGCAGUUUUGUAGGUUUCGAUAUGUUCCCAUGAAUUCUUUAAAACAAUGUUGUUUUUAAUGAUUUAUAUGUCAAUUUGUUGUGAUAUAACAAGUACGGAAGAAUUUUUAUUAAAGUUUUUGUUUAUGGUUUCAAAAAUUGAUAGAGGAUUAUCGUUUACAAAAAUAUGAGUUCAGCCGGAAACCCCAAAAAACAUGUUUAUACAUAUAUCGGUUGCAAUCAUUAUAGAGUAGGAACUCACAUGUUGAUAUCUAGUGUAUACGAUUAUACUGGCAAGACAUUAUUCUGAGAAAGCUGCGCUUAAGGUAAUAGGAGCAAACAAAUAUUACUGUAGUAAAAUAAUGCAUUGUUAUUAUUAGCUUUUAGGUAAAGUUUUUCGCAUUGCAUAAUACCAGUAGAAUCAGUAAAUAAUUUUAAUUUUGCUGUUGGGUUACAUUUCUCCCAUAUAUGGACAUAAUGCAAAAUAAUGUUUUAAAAUGAAUUUUCAAUAUAAAUGUAGAUGCAAAAUUGUAUGCUUGUUACCACUUAGAUAGUAUUAUUUUCAAUGCGUGCUAUAAUAAAACACCACCAAUUACAUCGGAUAAAAUUUAA
rnacentral:sRNA from 1 species